GGCGGCCUAGGUGUUAGAGCGUCCGCCUUUGAAGCGGUAUGUCGUGGGUUCGAACCACGGCUGAGUCA